UUAACAAAGAUUUAUUACAAUAGAAUGUGAAUAUUUAAAGUAAACAUAGAUAGAAAUGUUCAUUUGGAUGUUCAAGUUUCCAUCGCUUCCCCUCCAGUAGAGGUGACUGCAGUCUGGAUAAUGUCCCAUUUUAUUGGAUUCACUUCUUUCUUGAGGAUCGCUUGAAUGAAGAGAGAAUAAAUUAUAAGGUGUGGCAUGAUGGCUAUUGCGUGUCUUUUAUUUUCCUCCUGUAGUAACACUGGUUCAAUAACAGAUGAUUCUUACUGGACCUCUAGGAAGAACAGUUUAGAACUGAUAGAG
rnacentral:lncRNA from 1 species